rnacentral:lncRNA from 1 species
GGGGAGUUUCUAUUGCUUCAAGGAAGAGAAAAAAAAAAAAGCAAAGAAAAGAAAAGUCAGAAGCUUUGCUUCUGCAAAAAGUGAGAGAGACAGGUGAGAGUGUCAGGAGAGAAAAAGUAAACAAAGAAAAAAGAAGAAAAUAGGACACACUGUUCAUCUUCCUCGUGGAUUCCUCCUCCGCGAAGCCCCAAGCCGGUGUUGCUUCCACGACCGCGACCACCGCCGUCCGCGAAGCCCCACAUCGCUGCCGCUCCGGUGCCCCACAUCGCCGCCGGUCCGAGAUCUCCACCAGCACGCCUUGCGCCAGUCACCGCCGCCCGUGAAGCUUCCGCUACUGCUCGCUCUGCCGCGCCACCGCCUUGCAGCAGCCCGCCCUGCUCUGCUGGUCUCCGCACUCCGCCUCCCUCUGUAGCUCUACACCCAUCUGCCUCGACGUGCUCCGCCAGCCCUGCACCCAAUCGCGACCCAACGCUACCGGAGCCCCAAAUCAGCCGCACCACCACGACGCCGAGCCUCACUGGAGAUCUGCUCUCUGCUCCACCUACAGCUGCGCCACCGUUCAGACCCACGAAGCGCUCCGCGGCCAACUACACCAGCACCGCCGCUCCUGUUCCGCCGCGCGACCCACCUCUGCAGCGCCCAGACCCCA